AUAAGAAAUCAGGAAGGGGGCAAACACUUUUUCACACAACUGUACAUAUGGAUGUUUUCACACUUCUGGAUAAAAAUACAGUAAUUGAAGGAUGUCAAACCAAAUUUCAAGGGCUCUUACAUAAACAAAAUUCAAAGUAUGACAGGCCAAAGUUGCAAUUUGUUUUUUUUUUUUGUUUUUUUUUUGGUUUCAAAUAAAGGUUUGAACAAAAUGUAAACAGAAAACUCUGAUUUGACAUGGAACGGCGCAGAUAUGUUUGCUAACGCCACCCUUUGUGUGCUCCCAAGCCACUGCUCCUUAGAAUUAGAUUCAUUCCUAGUGUGGACUGUGUGCAUAGCCCAAACUGACUUCCAUGUCACUCUCUCCCACAGGUUUUGGUGGUGGGCCAGGAUUUGGUGGGGUGGGGACUGGGGGGUCUUCUUUUGCCUUCUCCACCAGUAAGCCCACAGGAGGCAGUCUGAGUGCAGGUUUUGGUAGCAGCAGCAGCUCGGGCUUUAACUUCAGUAACCCUGGCCUCAACCCCUCGGCCGGCCUGACCUUUGGCGUUUCUAACCAAGCUGCUACAGGCUUUGGCGCAGCACCCCUCCUCCAGCUCAAGAAGCCCCCUGCUGGGAAUAAAAGGGGCAAGAGAUAGAACCAAAAACCCAAACCCUGUGACUGACCGGCUGACUAACGGGUUUGUGGCGGGUAAGGCCUGGUCUCCCAAAAGCAUAUAAGGGUUUUAUCAAUCACCAUCCAACGACAACACAACGAACUUAAAUCUGACUGUAUUACUUUGGUCUAAUCAAUACUCGGCCACUCUGAAUACAUGUAGACCGUGGAGUGUAUGGAAAGAUUCAAAUGGUGUUUGCAUCAUUUUAAACCUGAAUUUGUGUCGACUCUAUAAUCUGUAGCGCUGCAAUGCUUUUGGGAAAGCCAGCCAUGGACAGAGCUGGGGUCAAUUACAAAUGGUUCAGUUUUCUGUGAGGACUUGCUUUUGUCUGAAUAUUGUACAAGACUGAUGUGUUUUUGUGCUUUGAGGUGGACAGUGCAGUUGCUGUCGAUCGCAUAACUGCACUUGAACGCCUCUCAAAUGAUGACUCGGCCUCAGCCUCGUCCAGGGAAGGAGGAGAUGGCGUGAAGGGAAAGAAGUUCAGUUGGUUUGGAACAGUGUAGUCGCUGCCUAAGGUGUCAAGCGGGACUGUUAUCUGAUCCCAGAUUUUUUUAGGCACAGGAGUGUCCAGGGUGGGCUUUUGGGGAAGCACAGUUUUAUUUUUGUAUCAACUGGAGAAAGAGAAGAUAUAUGGGAGGGGUAAAAGGGCACCUGCACCUUGGGAUAGUCCAUUAGCUAGUCCACGUAACCGGUGUUGUUUUGCUGAAGUCCAUCCUUCCAUCAUUGUUUAAUAGUUACUUUGAAUCUGAAAGGGAUUUUACGAGCAGAUUCUAGCUACGCAAACUUCUACAUGUGCUAGAAUGAAUGUGCACUCGUCGGUGUAUAUGACCUGGCAGUGAUCGUGUGAAUGUGCAUGUGUGCCUAUUGCACAAGUAUGAAUUUGUCUCUCUGGUCUGUUAUCAUUGCUGACUUCUUCUGAGUGUCGGGGGGUGGUUGAGAUAUUCAGCUCUUUUUUAAAUUGUCCAUUUCUGUUUCAGUUACCAAAUACUGGUAGUUGUACUAUUGUUUUCUAAUCACAAUCUGUGUAAACUUGUAUUUUCAAGAAGCUGUUUAAUAAUAAAAUCUUCAAUAGGAUGUUUUGCCUGUUUAUGGCAACACUUCAAUAAAAGUGCGUGUUGACACAGAAUGGUGUCUGUCAUGUGUUCGUCAGGAUGUGCGUCGCCUGGUGAAGGACAGUUUGGACUUCACCAUGGUUGCACCAGUUUUUACCACUUUUAUGUCAACAUUGCCACAGCCUGUAUCCCUUACACCUUCCUUGGCAAAGUGUAGUGCCUGUGUAAAAUGGCAGACAAGUGUUGAUAGUUGUGCUGAAUAAAACAGGACCACUUAUAUAUAUUAUAUUAGAAUUUACUAAGCCAUGCAGAUUGUCAGGUUUACCAGUUGUGGGCCCAUUCUCUGAGUUAAUGGAGAAUUGUCCUCUAUUUCAUCCUUUUAUCUAACAACAUAAGUCCAAGCUUUCCUUCUCCAUGACACAUUAUUCGUGUUAAGUGUUUUUUUCAAGCAGUCCAUUUGUCUUAAGUGGUAAAAUGUUUUUUUUUUAUUGUUUGAAAGAAUAAUGUUAAAAUAAUUCAGUAUUGUCAUUCAUUAUAUGUCAAACAGGGUUUAAAAGGGAACAGUCCUAUUUUCCCUAACACAAGGGGGCGAUAUUGCGCUUCACGCGGCAUUACAGCUACCCUAAAGAAAACACGAGAAGAAGACUGUUGCUAUGCGACGACGGUGUAAGUGAGACAUUUUAGCCGUCUGCAUUUUUCACACAUUCAUUAUUCAACAAUCCAGGUAACGUUAAAGUUUUUACAGUUCAUUCAAAAUGUCUUUUGACUAUAUGCCAACGUUUGCCAACUGUAGGACCGUUAAGUAUGUAGAUAUAGCCUUAGUAUUUAUUUUAAUCGAGCAAAUGAGACCUACAAUAAUAGCGCUGUAUUGGGCUUUCAUAACAAUAAAACAGAAAGUAGAAAUCUUUAUUUCUACCACUUCUCUGCUCUUGAGCUUAGUGAACUAACGUUAACUUCCGGUUAGCUGUUAUACGGUCAACUUAACGGUAACUAACACGGAGUCCUUUGUUUAAGCAACUUUUAACUUACUGUAAAAUGCUACAACUUCCGGGUGGAUUCAGAGACAUAACGCUGAUAUGAUGUUCGGCCUUUUACUUUCUUGCUGAAGGCUUCUUCUCAUUCAACUAACGUUAACGCUACCGAAUUAAAUUUUGCCGUAUGAACGGCGUCGUCUCCUGGCUCCUUUUGUAUCAUACAGGUGUGAAUGCAUCACGCUGUUCUGUAUAUUAAAAUGAGGAAUUGCAUACCUGCAGAUUUUCAAGCUUGUAUCUCUUUGUAAAAGCUUUCAUGGGUCUUUACCUCCAUAUUCCUCUCAAACUUAUUGAAACGGCACCAUUAUAUCCGAAGAACCACUAUUACAUUUUUAUGUUAAUAGUGUGGUUAUUAUCACUGCCUAAAGUUUUAAGUACCUAGCGAGCUGCCACUGCUAAUUGGACUAUAUUGCAAUGUUUUAUAGUGCAGCCAUGCCUCUUCCGGACACAAUGUUCUGUGCCCAGCAAAUCAACAUCCCUCCCCAGCUGCCAGACAUCCUCAAAGACUUCACCAAGGCAGCCAUCCGCACACAGCCCAAGGACCUGCUGCCGUGGUCUGCAGCAUACUUCAAUGCGCUGUCUAAAGGACAGCGUCUGCCUGUGAAGGAUAGGCUGGAGACGAAUGCCUCACAUAAGACAGACACUGGGCUGAGUCCUGGUCUACUCAAGACUCUCCACAAACAGCUGUCCCCGUGUGAGACAUGCAGCAAGGAGGACCUGCAGAAGAAAUGGAAGGGUCUGUGUCUACCCGUGGAUCAGCUGGAAGACCUGCUGUUGCUGGGCAGUUUUGACUCAGACAUCGACUGGAUGGAGUUUUUCGCGCUGUGCUGCGGUGCCCUGGGAGGGACCCUCUUGAGUUCCCUUACUUUUGCCUGUGAGAUCCUGACGGAGGAUGAGGAGGGCGGUGCUGCGAGGAUCCCGUUCGACACCUUUGUCAAACUCUACACCUACCUGGCUCACCUGGACGAGGACAUGUCACAGGACCACAUUGAUAAGUUCCUGAGCAGCCUGCAGGCACAAGUGUAGGUGCUGUGUGGGUGUGUUGGUGUGCAUGACCGUUAUCCUCACCUUCAUAGCUGUCAAUAUGCUUAGAGAAAGGAAGCCUACCUCACUACAUCGACAUGCAAUAAGCACAUUUGUCUCAUUUGAAUCAGUUCUCCUUGGAUUCAGCUCCAGUCAAAUCUCAUGCUGUCUAUGAAGAUGGUCAGUCAUGAGAUAGAUACAAGUAAUAACUUGUAAGUUAUGCUGCCAAUAUGUUUUCUGCAGUGAUUACUUUGGACUUGCACAACAUUUCGGCCUGUACGUGUCGGUAGGCUAAGACACACAGAGCUAAGCCAGAUCGCUUGGACUCAGAUGACGCUGUGAGAUUGUAAUAUUCACUCUUGUGAAAAUCCUUGUGCUGCUGAGUAGAGCUGUUGCACUGAUAGACUGGUUUCUCUGCCCGACAGCAACAAGCAGAGCGGCAUGAUUCAGGUUUCCAACUUCUCCAUCAGCAGGAAGUGAGGGAAGAAGAGACGGAAAGCAAUGGACGGACAGGAAGGAAGUGAUAGAAACAACAAAACAACAGUGUUCUAUUAAUAAACGGGCAAGCUAAUGCUCCUUCAAGCACAGCUGUUGUUUCAUUGCCUAGGAAUUGGCCCCAUUAGUUGUUAGCGUCAGACACAGUGGAUUAUUGUUCGUCAUUGUCCAACAGAAAAAAGCUGCUAUUUUGAGUCAGGUUGAAAUCCUUUAAUGAGCAGCAAGAGAGGCACAAAGCUGGAAAUAUAAUGAUAACAUAUACUAUGAGCUUUUAAAUUGCAAAGUAUAUUAGACAGAAAUAUCCAUUGUGGAUUACACCUGGGAUUCGAACCAUGCAGGUAACGAAUUAAAGUUGGAGCUUUACCAGUUGAGCUAAGACGAAUACAAGCUUUUAUUUGGAAAAUGUGAUAUUAGAGAAACUUAUUCAUUGUAGAUUCACAGUGACUUAUGACUGUUAUGGCUUUUCUAAACAUACUUCACUUUGACUUUUCUCGACAUAUAGACUAUGAUUUUCUUCGACAUACUAAACUAUGAAUUUUUCAUGAUUUUCUUUUAACAUACUUUACUAUGACUUUUUUCGACAUGCUAUACUAUGACUUUUUAUGAUUUUUCUAACAAGUACUCUUUAUGAACUUUUUAAGGAAAUAUAAUAAUACGAGCUUUUAAAUUGCAAAGUAGGAUAUUAGACAGAAAUAUCCAAUGUGGAUCACACCUGGGAUUUGAACCCAUGCAGGUUAAGAAUCGAACCAGGAGUUGAGCCUGACGCUCCACCAGUUGAGCUAUCGCAGCACUCCUAACCUCAUCUUUGAUGACAAUCUAUACCAUGACUUUUUUAUGACUUUUCUAACAAUUACUCUUUAUGAACGUUUUUGAAAUAUAACACUUUGAGCUUUUUAAUUUGAAACCAGGAUAUUAGAGAAACAUAGUCAUUGUAGAUAACACCUGGGAUUCGAACCGAUGCAGGUUAAGAAUCAGUUAUUUUCACAACAUUAUAUAUAUCAUGACUUCUUCAUGACUUUUUAAAAUGUACUUUAUGAUACAUUUUUUUCGACAUGCAAUUGUAUGACACAUACUACACUCUGAAUUUUGUAUGACUUUGUAAACAUACUUUAAUGUCACUUUUUUUUUUACAUGACUUUUUUGACUUACUAAACUCUGAAUUCUUAUGACUUUUUUCGACAUAUGAUGACUUUAUUAUGACUUUUUCAAAAGUCAUAAAAAAGUCAUAUAGCUGUGACUUUUUUGACAUUUAUAUGGCUUACUAUACUAUGCCUUUUUUAUUAUACUUUAAUGAAUACAAUACUAUGACAUUUUAGGACUUUUUAUGGCAUACUAUACUAUGACUUAUUGAUGACACUUUUCAUGACCAAGCAGCACAGCUCCACAACUGUAUGCUCCAUUGUUUUAACUUGAAUUAUGAUGUCAUUACAAAGAUGUCUGUUGCUUAUCAAUCUCUGCUCCGGGGUGGACCUUGUUGCACAACCCUUAUUCUUUCCUCAAGUGUUGCUCAUAACAGCACAUCUCCAGAGACACGAUGAAUGUAGCAGAGCAGUGUGAAAGAGCCAGAAGAAGAGAGAGAGGACACGGAGGCUCCACGUUAGCGUUCCUCUCGUUAGCUCUUGUAUAACAGGUUUCAGGUGAGCUCCAAUGCGGGAUGAUAAAACCUCUGGACUUCAGCCAUUGGGAGGAUAUGGACUCAA